rnacentral:pre_miRNA from 1 species
AAUAGAAUUGCUGGGUCAUAUGGUAACUGUUUUUCCUUUUGAGGAACAUUGCUUUUCCAAAGUGGCUGCACCAUUUUACAAUCCCAUAGCAAG